UGCGUAGGCUGUGUUGUAAGUCAGAGGUGAAAUCCCGGGGCUCAACCCCGGAACUGCCUCCAUACUGCAAGACUUGAGGACUGGAGAGGAGAUUGGAAUUCAUGGUGGAGCAGUGAAAUGCGUAGAUAUCAUGAGGAACGCUAGUGGCGUAGGCGAAUCUCUGGACAGUUCCUGACGCUGAGGCACGAAGGCCAGGGAGCAAACG
rnacentral:rRNA from 1 species